rnacentral:lncRNA from 1 species
UGUGAGAUAAAAAAGUAAUAACGCUGCCCUCCAUUAUUUAUUAGCAGCCUUUAUUUCUCCCAGCAAAAUAAUUCCCUUCCUCCCCGGGUCGGUCGGGAGCGCAGCGCGAUGCCGUCACCCCGUCCCUCAGGACGUGGGCAUGGUUUGGAGCAGACGGGGUACUGCGGUGUCCCGGCCGAGUGCCACCAGGGGUGUUUGUGUUGUGUGGGACCCGUGUGGUGUCCCUGUCCCCGUGUGGUGUCCCCGUCCCUGUGUGGUGUCCCUGUCCCCGUGUGCAGCUCUGCUCUGCAUGGCCCUGGGGACACGGCUCCGGCAGUCCCGCGCUGCCCAGGGUUAGUGUUGGCUGUAUUGACUGCAUUUGUGACAGCUGGGGCUCAAUAUUGAAAUUACUCAGAGCUCCAGAUAGCCAGGCUGAAUCAAUCCGUUUGUUAGUGGGAGCCAAAGGCAGCACGACAGCGAAGGAAUAUUGCAUCCUCAGAGGGAGGCCGCGGCAGGGAGGGAUCGGCCCCAUGACCACGUUUACAGCCAUCUUUGUGAUUUUGCCUGCCAUCGUGUCUUUGCUUUAGCCCUGAGGUCCCAAACUCGGCAGGUCCAUGACCUCCCCUUCUCCUGAGGCAGCUCUCGGGAGCAGACCUCGUCCCCUGGCCGGGCAGCACGGCUUAGCCCAAGCAGAAGGGAGGCGGCGGUGCUGUCGCUCACAGACACGUUGUUUCCAAGACCCAGCUGUGGAUGUGAGGAUCAGCAACGAAAACCCGUCACCAGACCAUGUGCAGGUGUGGCACUCAGGUGUCUGGCACUGCGGGGUUCCCAGCAGGGAGAGGCUCUGUCUAACACGGGAACGCUGUCCUUGCUGUCCUCGCUCCCCGCAGCGGGGAAUCACCGCCGCUCCCAGCCCCAGGCACCUCUCUGCUGGAAGGCAUCGGGCGGACCGGGUGGCAUUGCCAUGGCAAUCAUCACCUGGGAAACCGAGAGGUGUGGAGCUGACAAAACGGAGGUGUUCGCUCGCUUUUCUUUGGGAAGCAGGUUGGCUCGGACCUGGCAUCCAGAUGGGCUCUGAUGGGCCCUCAGAUGGGCUCUGUCCAGGAGGAAGGGACCCAGAAAGGAGAAGGCUGAGCCAUCUGGAGGGAGAGUCACUCCUCGCCGCGCAACGCACCGAGGUGGAGGAGGGAGCGGGGCUUCUGCCGGUGGGUUGUGGAGGAGCUGGCACGGAGGGGGCUGGAGGCAGAGCGUGGGGAUGCUCAGGGGCCAGGAUGGGAGCUGAGAGCCCCAGGGCUGCCCAGGAAGAGCCUGGUGUGGAGAGGCUGGGGUUCAGAGUGCUCCAGUGGGGUCAGGAGGUCACAGAAUUGGCUUCAAAGGGACUUUAAAGAUCACCUGGUGUGAACCCUCUGGCACAGGCAGGGAUGCCACCCACUAGGUCAGGUUGCCCAGGGCCUCAUCCAACCUGGCCUUGAGCACCUCCAGGGAUGGGGCAUCCACAGCCCCUCUGGGCAGCCUGUGCCAGGGCCUCACCACCCUCUGAGUGAGGAAUUUCCUCCUGACCUCUCAUCUCCCCCUUUUUAGUUUUAAACCAUUCCCCUUUGUCCUGCAUGUGCCUUGACACUGCCUCCAGGAGGAUCUGUUCCAUGAUCCUCACAGGCACAGAGCUGAGGCUCACUGCUCUGUAGUUCCCCGGCUCCUCCUUUCUGCUCUUUUUAAAAAUCAGAGUGAUGUUUCCCUUUUUCCAGUCACCAGGGACUUCACCUGGCUGCCAGGGCUUUUCAAAUAGGAUGGAGAGAGGUCAGCAGCCGGUUCCCUCAGUGCCCUGGGCUGCAUGGCAUCAGGCCCCAUGGACCCAGACCUGUUCAGCCCCAGCCUGCUCCUUGCUUACAGUGGGUGGCACUGAGGGUUCAGGUCCACUCCAGAUGCCCAGAGAAUCUCUCGUGUCGGGUGAGAAGAGCUGGAUCAGACCUGAAGUCCAUCUGAUACAUCCACAGUCCCCAGGAACGGGCUUCAGCCUGCCAAAGGGAGCCCCCUCCUUGCACCUCCCUGCCUCGGGGCAGUCCCUGUAAGUCUGCUCUUAUCCUACAGGGCCUUCAUCCACCUCUAAGUGCUUUCUGCAGAGUCUCAUCGCUCAUGGCACUGUGUCUGGUGGCCAUUAUCUGCCACCUUUGCUAUUCUGUUGACUUUCUGGGCUGCUGAGAUUGGAAAGUUCAUCCCCUUUCAGCUCCAGGCGCAGCAUCCAGCCAGGUGGUGAGCCCAGAUUAUCCUUUACUAAGCGCACGCGGUGCCUUGGGGCUGCAGCAGAACCCACCAGGGUCUGGAUAGAGAUGCUUUCUGGGCACUUCCAUAGCUCUUAAAGCUUUCUGGGUUAUUCCCAGAAAAUAAAAGUUCCCAUUCCUGUGUCA